CCAAAAAUCACUUCCUGAAAUAAAUCCGUAUUUUAAAGGAAUAAUUUUUAAAAUAUAAUGAAACAAUCAUGUUUGAACGUAAAUUCAGUUUAAAAACAAUAAAAUUUGUUGUUUCUUAUCUCUCGAUGUUUUAUUAAAAAGAAAAAAAAAUAGGUGGGAAGAAACUUUUGGCCCACCCUGUAUUAUCUCUCGUCGCGUGUUUGACGAUUAUUCAUUAACGAUUCCUUAGUCAGAAAGUCAACUAACUAAUAAUUUUCGUACGCGUACGUAUACAAAAAUUAGUGAAAUAUAUUCUUAUUAACCGAGACGAAAUUGAAAAAAAAAAAAAUACCAGUCGAAUAAAGUAAAUAAAGUAUAAUAGAAGAAUAGAAAAGGGACUAGAAGAUAUUUCUGCAGACACAUUCUAAAGAAAAAAAAAAGAAAAAAAGAGAGAGAGAGAGAAGGAUUAUUCGUAAAAACGUCGCUGUUAUACAAUAUUUAGUACUACCGUUUAUAGAUGCACUUACAAAGUAAAGUUAAAACAUAGCUGUGACACAAAGUGUUGGGAGAUACUGAUACUAUAAUUUACGAUUAUAAAGCACACGAGAUAAUGUUAAAACGUUGUUAUUAAAAUAUAAUUAUUGCUGUUACUACUGAACAACUGAUACGUAUUAUUUGAACGAAGGAAGUGGGGAGAGAUACUCGCCUACUCCGGUUUGUUUACAAUUAAAUGAAAACGAUCGAUCGCGAAACGAACGAAAUCCGAUCGAUCGGUGUGUUUUCGAGCCGGAAAAAUUGGAUCCUCGAUCGCGACGUACGAGGUACAAUAUUCAAAGAAACAAACAAAAUCAAACAUAGUUUUUAAUUCAGACUAUGAUAAUAGAUUACGAUUACGAUUGAGGUUAUAAUUAAGCACCGCUGUAUAGAGGACUGAAAGUAAAAUUCCGAGAGAUUCAGCGAUUAAAUUGAAAUAGAAAGAAAAUGAGCAAGAAACGAUAAGUAAUGUUAAGUGCUAUUCGAGAGUUAGAACGAUUAAUGUAUUAUGUAUCUAGCCUUUAGAGGACGUACAUACAAAUUAGAAGUGGAGUAUCUAACACCUGGGAUCUGUAUCACACUUGUUCAAAGGUCGAGAGAUUUUACAAGAUCGUUUUACAAUGAUGAAGAUGACACAUCGUACGUGAUCGCAAAUCAUUCUUCCUGUAUAAGUUCGAAGGAAUUCGAAGAGUAGUCGCAUACUUUUUCCUGAAGAUUCGCAACGAAUUUCGGAACUGUGAAAUGGAUUCAAUCACCGAAAAGAGAAAAAAAAAAAAAAAGAAAAAUGAAAAAAAAAUAAAUAAAAGACGCACUUCCAUCUAUGUAAUAAUCUAUAAGAACUGAAUGUACAUACCAUGGUCUGCUUAAAAUCAUCUUCAAUUCUGAUAUCUGAAUAUGAUAUAUUGCAUGAACUUAAUGAAAUAAUUUUGCUCGUUUGUUUUAGGUAUGAGAAGGAAGGAAAAACCAAAAACAGGGCAUUCGACACUUUCCUAUUUCUUCGAAGAAAUUGAUUUCGGAAUUUUAUAAUUUAGGAAAGUGGAAAUCAUUAAAUUGUAAAUUUGUAAUUCAGUUGGCUGGAAAUUAUUAAAUUACAAAUUCACAAUUCAAUUGGCUGGGAGUUGUUAAAUUGUAAAUUCAUAAUUCAGUUGGCUGAAAAUUGUUAAAUAAUAAAUUCGCAAUUUAGAAAUUGUUAAAUUGUAAAUUUACAGUUCAGUUGGCUGAGAAUAUGUUAAAUUGUAAAUUCAUAAUUUAGUAGGUUGAUAUCUAUGACCUGUUUUGUUCUACACAAUUAUGUAAUUUUCAACGUGAUAGUUUCGAGGUUAGUUUUACAUUUAGAUAUCCGAAUGACGCUAUCUUACGCAGACCAUGUAGCUCAACAUAAGUAGCGUUUAUUAGAAAGAUAACUUUUACGGGGGAGCUCGACUCGAGUCGUUCCUUCCCCCUUCCAACUAUUCUAAUCCAGAUACACACGAAAGAGUUAGAGUUUUGAGAGAAAUACAUUUUAUGAAGAGUAAAAAGAGAUAGAGAGAGAGAAAGAGAGAAAGAGAAAAGAGUAUACUUAUACUUAGGCUCUACUUUAGUAACGAAUUUACUUAAGAGAGGGAAGAGAAUCCGAAUAUUAUAUAUACAUAUUAUACAUUUAAGACUUGUACCCGAAUCGUGUACCCGUUCGUUUAAAAAAUUUGUAGAAGACGAGAAACCAAGAAAAAAAAACAAAAAAAAGAAAAAAAAACGAAAAUGAUCUAUUGUAUUAAGGGGUCUAAAGGAUAGAUUAUAGAACAUAUUGCCUUUUACAAACGUAAGGAUGACAAGGAAGUCGCGCAUAAUCUCAUCUAGGAGUAAAGAGAGACAUUAACGAUUAUUCCAGUACACUACAAUCUAAUCUAGUAGAACUAGUUGCCAAACCAAUACAAGUUAACUGUCUUCUAAAAGAGAAAACCAUUCCUUCCUUUCGUCGAUUAAUUUGUAAACGUUCCAGCUUUGAUUUUUGUUAUCUCCAGAGAAAGAGAGAGA